UACGAAGGGUGCAAGCGUUGCUCGGAAUUAUUGGGCGUAAAGGGUAGGUAGGUGGUGAUAAAAGUCUGAGGUGAAAUCCCCGAGCUUAACUCGGGACGUGCCUUGGAAACUGUGUCACUAGAGUAUCGGAGAGGUUUGUGGAAUUCCCGGUGUAGCGGUGAAAUGCGUAGAGAUCGGGAGGAACAUCAGAGGCGAAGGCGACAAACUGGACGAUAACUGACACUGAACUACGAAAGCGUGGGGAGCAAACAGG
rnacentral:rRNA from 1 species